GACGAACGCUGGCGGCGUGCUUAACACAUGCAAGUCGAACGGAAAGGCCUCUUUCGGGGGGUACUCGAGUGGCGAACGGGUGAGUAACACGUGAGUAACCUGCCCUUGACUUUGGGAUAACUUCAGGAAACUGGGGCUAAUACCGGAUAGGAGCUCCUGCUGCAUGGUGGGGGUUGGAAAGUUUCGGCGGUUGGGGAUGGACUCGCGGCUUAUCAGCUUGUUGGUGGGGUAGUGGCUUACCAAGGCUUUGACGGGUAGCCGGCCUGAGAGGGUGACCGGCCACAUUGGGACUGAGAUACGGCCCAGACUCCUACGGAGGCAGCAGUGGGGAAUAUUGCACAAUGGGUGGAAGCCUGAUGCAGCAACGCCGUGUGCGGGAUGACGGCCUUCGGGUUGUAAACCGCUUUCGCUCAUGACGAAGCUUUGUGUGACGGUAGUGGGUAAAGAAGCACCGGCUAACUACGUG
rnacentral:rRNA from 1 species